rnacentral:lncRNA from 1 species
UGCUACCUUUUAGUUGGAAAAUGUACCAUAUUUGAAGCCAAAAUAAUUUAGAUUAGGCCUUCUGUAACUGAGGAUAAUACUAGAUCUACAUCACAUAUUGCUUUUUUUAAAAGUACAUGUAAUUUAAAAGUAUUUAAUGAAUUUCUCUGAUAUCUUUAGCUCUGUCCCUCAAAAAGAUAAUUGAAAAUUAUUAAUGCUUUGAGUAGACAAUCUUGAUUAGUAUAUUCAGAGUUAUUAACUCCUGCACUCAUUUAUAUUACUUACAAAUGAAACAGGAUAGCUAACUUUGUAAAAACGAAUCUCUGUGAACGAUUUUCAUUAAUUUUUGAUGAAUUAUAUAAAAAAGUACAUCAGCAUUCACAUGAAAUAGCACACAUGAAAUAAAUUUGCUAUAUCUAAAAAGUUCAAAUUAAGUCAUAAUUUACUUUGUAUAUAUUUUAAUAUUCAUGUGUAUAAUGUUAAUAUAACUCAUAUAUCAACUUGGAUGUAACAGUUUUAAACCAAUCAGAAUCUCCGUUUGUUUUAUUUCUUCAUAUUAAAAGAUUGUCCUUGCCAGUGUCCUGAAAAAAAAAAAAAACAAACUUUCUUUCAAUAUUAGUCACCAACUUCAGAAAAAAAUAAGACUCAGCAGUCCAUGGAUUUUUGUAAAUACAUAUUUUAAUAUGGUUUACAUAUUACAAAAUGUAAAUGUAUAUCUAUAUGUCACAUAGAAUUUCAACAAUUUGUACUUUUUGGGCUUUUAAUCAUUAGUAAAUUGAAUGUGUGUGCAUUUUCCAAAACCUUAACUUUCUAUAUAAUUGAAAAACUUUAGUAAGUUUAUUUUGAUUAAGUGCAUUGUCUAGUUUAUUUUUACUUUUACUUAAUAAGUAAGUAAAAAUAUUAUUACUACUUUUUAAAUAGCAGCAUUUUAUUUUUUCUAUACAACUAUACCAUAACAAGUGUUGAUGUCUUAAAAAAGACAUUUCAAAAUGUCUUUUAAAAGCCUAUGAAGAAGUAUUAUUAUUUAGAGACUAAGUGAUUAAAUGUAUUUAAAUUCUAUUUAUGAGAUUCAUGUUAUCUUGCCAAGACUCAUGUACACUUGAAUCACAAAACCAGUACUUUAUGGUGUAUCAAGAUAUUUAUUCUUUCAAUUAAAGAUUACCUCAAAGUAACCUAACGAUGCUUACAGGUUGACUAACCAGUACUUUUAUUAAUCUAUGUUCUUAUAAACAAAUAAAC